ensembl:lncRNA
AGAACUGAUGCUGCCAGUGCUCACGUCACUGUGUUACUCGCUGUAUCAUUUCUCCUGAAUUCAGUAAACCUUAUUCUCAACAUAAGCCAUCUGAGUCUCCAGAGUGUCCCUGAGUUUGCCUCCUGAUUCCUCUUUUCAGACAUGGCAGAAUUCCCUAACAGAUUGGCGUCACGAACAGGAUCUCCACACAACAAAGACUGGUAAGUGCAAAUUUUAACAAAUUUUGCAAAAUGCCAUGUCUGAGUUUGGCGAGAUUAUGUACCUGUUAAAACUUGGUUAAAAAACCUAAACUUUGAAAAUUAAGUUCUAUGAUACUGAAUCUGCGAUGGUCUGAUAUUGCAUUUGGACAUUAAAUGCCAGUCGGCUGCCUCAAGAGGCGAGUACGGCGCACUACGCAUGUGGGUUUCAGUAAGUCAGUGCUUGUCCACUGCUGAAAGAGGCAGUGUAGAGUCGGCGCUUGUCCACUGCUGAAAGAGGCAGUGUAGAGUCGGCGCUCGUCCGCUGCUGGACAGAGGCAGUGUAGAGUACACGGAUUGGGUAAUAUACCUGGGUCGCCUCUUAAAGGAGGGUGACUCGACCUUAGGGGACAGCCUGUGGGUCCUUCCACCUUUGAGAACGAGGUUCUGGGCAAACUUAAGUGUUUGUCUGUGGAAGGCGAGACGAGCGUCCGCCCUUUGGUUCGGCGGGGUUUAAGACUCUGUGGAAUUUUGUCCCGGAGCUAGGUUAUGCGCAAACCUAUUGAUUCAAUACGUUGAAUCUGGUACCCAGAUCCACCAGACUGAAAUCCCACGUUAAAUUAGAGGAAACUCCUAUUGAAUUCUGGCACGAAAUUUCCUAUAAAUUGUGUAAAAAGAAUUUUGAACUUCAUCUAACAGAUCAGACUGAAAUUUUCCCUGAUCAUAAUUGAAAAUUGACACAUAAGAGUUCAGAUGCAGUUGAGAGUGAUGGCUAUGCACCUGCUGUUUGUCUUCAUUGCGGUUUUGUUUCUGUGUAUGCAUGAAUGCCUGUUGUUGAGUGAAAGAAAUUAACCAUGGGUUGUCAUCAGUCCAAAUCAGGCGAGACUCAUUGUUCAAAUGUGAAAUCAAUUAAUAAUUCUCAUAAAGUACAAUCUGAAUCUAACUCUGAUGCAUCCACAGCUAAAAUUAAAUCUGAUGCAUCUACGCUGGUCAGUGUAGCAGGAAUUCAGUCAUUAGCCAGAGCUAAGAACACAGAUGAGAAACUGAGGAUCAUUGCUCUUCUUCAGGAAGAAUUGACUAAGAUAAAGACUAAAAAAAAAAAAAAAAAAAAAAAAGAAAAAAGUUGAAUCUGGACUUAACACAGAACCCGAGUCAGGAUCAGGCUCAGUUUCAGGAAAUGGUGAUGUAGAAAAAGGACAGAGUAAUGAUGAGUUGAUGAAAAAGGAUAAACAGUCUGCACGUUCUUCACCUGUUUUUCUUCAAAGUGAUAAGAUGGAGGAGUCAGAGCUUUCUGAAACUAAUCCAGCUUUCCCUAAAUGCAUGAUCGUUAACACAGCUGUGUGUCAGGCUUGUAGCUCAGCAGAGGCCAGAGAUAUAUUGUUUAGUGCACCAGAUCCUUUCACUAGCUGAUGAAAUAUCUUGAUUGGUUGUGGGUUACAGCUACAUUGUAUAAUGUUCUAGUUCCAGACAUGAAGGUAUUGUUGCAUUGCACCUAUGGCAUAGAGUGGUCCGAGGUUGAGGAAUCUUUUGAUCUACCUCCCACUGAGAAUGUCCAGUGACCUGACAACGUAGACAUGCUGACAUGGUUAACAGAGAAAGCUAAAAAGGCAGUGUUUAAACAUGCACGCUGUACUGCUAAACCUUACAAGCUUAAUGUUUGUGUGCAGGAUGAUGAUGAGCCCCUGCCGACAUUUAUUGAACGGUUUGAUGGAAAUGUACAAGGAUGGUUGUUUUUUCCACUGAAUGAUCUGCUAAGGUUAAAUAAAUGGUUCAGGUCACAGAUCGGCCCCAGCGUCCUUCUUCUCAGAAGGCCGCUCCCCGAACAGAGCAGAAACGCAGACAAUGCUGGAAAUAUAAGAGAAUGAGAGACUGGGCCAGAGACUGCAGAGCACCUAGGAGCUAAUCAGUAGAAUGGAACGUUUUCAACUCUGUAAACACUAGAGUUUAACAUUCCCCUAUUGAAAAUCUAAUAUGAACAGUAGUAAAAAGGAAAGGGAUCAAAUCAAAAUUAUUUUUUAAAAUAAAAUGGAUCUUUUCUCUGAUAUGACUUCAGAAUCUAAUGGUUUGGUAUUGCUGUGCUCAAUACUGAGAAACUAAAAUUCCAUCUGUUCUGGAUUUAAAUUAAUUAUAAUCUUAAAAGUUAACUAUAUUAAACAAAUUAAUGCCUCGGUAGUAAAUAAAAUAGUGUUGAACUUUUAACCUCUGGAGUUUAAGGAAAUUAUAUUAAUAACUAAUUUCUUUCUGGUUCAUCAUGAGAAAAUCAAACUUUUACAGAGUAAAGUGAGAGCAGGAUAAAUAGAACAAGUAGAUCAAUCGGUAAAAUUAGUAAAAUAUAAUACAAGCUGUGCCUAUCAAUAUGUUUUAAAAUAUCUUGUAACUUUCUGCUGUAUGUUUCACUGAUAAUGUUUGCAUUCCUAGUUCUAAACUAAUCACUGUAGGCAUUUCAGGCACCCCAUAAUUAAAUUAUUUUUUGAACAAGCUUAUGUUUCAGAAGCAGGAUCAGAUGUGCAACAUACUUUCUGAUUCUUGCAGGAACACUUUUGAGUCUGAUGGGAAGAGACCUUCUUUGUAAAUUAAACACUGGUAUUAAUUGUACUCCAGAUUACUUGUUUCUAGAAAAUAAUAAAAUCAGUUCAGUGUUUGCAAUCAGCUAAUGAUUUUCAAUAUUGUUAGACUGUGGAAAGUUUUAAUAUGAAAGAAAUCUUUACUGCUAAUCACAUACAAGUAUUACAAAAACUUGUCCAGUUUGUGCGUUUGCUGUCUGCUAUGAGGUCUGUGUUGCAGUGGUGUUGCUGCUGAUAAUCCAUCCACAAUUAUAACUGUGACGCUUACACUUUUACUUAUGACAAAAAUGAUAAAAUAAUCUGAAAGGAUUUUACUGGUUUAUGGUCCAGAUUGGGUGCAUUUUACCUAUAGAACUAACAGAUGCACAAUAAGCUCUGUGCAAAGAUCAAGUUGCUCUGCCUCACAUCAAGGUCGUUGUGUCGACUGGGGGAGAAGUAAAACAACUGAAUGUUUUCAUAAUAAGGUGCAUCAGUCAGCGAGAGACUGUCUCCAAUCCACUGAUUGCUGCCGCAAAAAAACUUGGGGAUGAUAUAUCUUUCUUAAAACCUAAUAAGACUAUCACUCUUCCUAAAAAAAAAAAAAAAUGUUUGUUUUACAGAAAGCACCCUUUCAUAUUUUAAAUGGACCCCCUCAAAUUUAUCUGAGGUCCCUAACAAACUAUGGGCUAAACAAAAGAAUCAUGUGGGAUGUGUGACAACUGUUUUACCUCAUGUUGUUCAAGUUAAAUCUAAAAAGUUACACUUAAUGCUGUAGUUCCUAAGAUUAAUCAGUAUAAGUUAUUUUAAAGGGCAAUCGUAGGCAUAGAGGGCUUAAUUCAGUCCCUCUUGGAUCAAGGAGUGUUAGUGGAGAGAAACAGUCCAUGUUACACUCACAUUUUGCCAGUUCCUAAACAUAAUCAUCCUGAUGAAUGGGGAUUUGUUCAAGAUUUGCAAGUAAUUUAUAACAUUGUCGUGCCUUUGGCUCCAAGUUUACCAGACACUAAUUCUAGUUUUGCCUCUUGCCCCUAGAUUCUAAAUAUUAACUCAAUUGUUGACCUGAGCUGUGCAUUUUUCUCUGCAUCCAGAUAGUGAGUAUCUGUUUGUAUUUCAAUUCAAUUCAAUUCAAUUUUAUUUAUAUAGCGCCAAUUACAGUCAAAUUGUCUCGAGACGCUUUACAGAACCCAUAUGCCUGACCCCCAGAGCAAGCCAAAAGGCGACAGUGGCAAGGAAAACACCCUUUUAACAGGGAAAAAAACCUCGAGCAGAACCCGGCUCUAAUGUGGGGGGACCCAUCUGCCUGCUGGCCGGGCGGGUUGAGAGGGACAGAAGAGGUAGAAAGGUAGAGAUAGAGGGAUAGAAGUAGAGAUAGAGGGAUACAGAUAGAGGGGUAGAGAUAGAGAGGUGGGGGGGUGGGACACAAGGACCAUAAAACACAGCCACACAUCUGAAGCAUCCAGCAUCCAGCUCUGGGACCAGGGACACUCGGAGAAAGGACACAGGUAGAAACAGGGAGAGUGAGUGUAAUGCAAUAAUGGUAUAUAUAGUAAAUACAUAGGGCUCAGUGCAUCAAGAGAGGUCCCCCAGCAGCCUAGGCCUAUAGCAGCAUAACUAGGGGCAAACUAAAGGGACGUCAAGAGGGGAAGUCAGUUGUGCAAAUGAAAACACCAGCUCACCCCGUCAGGGUCCCCCAGUCAGCCCUAACUAUAAGCUUUGUCGAAAAGGAAGGUUUUAAGCCUGGUCUUAAAAAUAGAGAGGGUGUCCGCCUCCCGAACCCAAACUGGGAGCUGGUUCCACAGGAGAGGUGCCUGAUAACUGAAGGCUCUGCCUCCCAUUCUACUUUUAGAGAGAAGUUACAGGUCACUUCUCCAAGUAAGCCUGCAGUUUGAGAGCGAAGAGUUCUGCUAGGAUAAUAUGGUACUAUCAGGUCUUUAAGAUAUGAUGGAGAUUGGUUGUUAAGAGCUUUAUAUGUCAGAAGAAGGAUUUUGAAUUCUAUUCUAGAUUUAACAGGAAGCCAAUGAAGAGAAACCAAUAUAGGAGAAAUAUGAUCUCUCUUGCUAACUCCCGUCAGUACUCUGGCUGCAGCGUUUUGGAUCAGCUGUAGAUAUUUCAGAGAGCUAUUGGGACAACCUGAUAAUAAAGAAUUACAGUAGUCAAGCCUAGAAGUAACAAAUGCAUGGACUAGUUUUUCUGCAUCACUCUGAGACAGGAUGUUCCUGAUUUUCACAAUAUUUCUCAGGUGGAAAAAGGAAGUCCUACAGAUUUGUUUUAUGUGCGAGUUAAAGGACAUGUCCUGGUCAAAGAUAACACCGAGGUUCCUCACAGUAGUACUGGAGGCCAAUGUAAUGCCAUCCAGAGUAACUAUAUGCUUUGAAAGCAAUUCUCUAAGAUGUUUGGGGCCAAAUACAAUGACUUCAGUCUUGUCUGAAUUUAGUAGUAAGAAAUUAUAGGUCAUCCAGGUCUUUAUGUCCUUAAGACAAUCUUGCAGUCUAGCUAGCUGAUUAGUUUCAUCUGGCUUCAUAGAUAAAUACAAUUGAGUGUCGUCAGCAUAACAAUGGAAAUUAAUACAGUGCUUCCUAAUAAUGUUGCCUAAGGGAAGCAUGUAUAAUGUGAACAGUAUUGGUCCUAAGACAGAACCCUGAGGAACUCCAUGAUUAACCCUAGUAUGCUCAGAAGAGUCAUUGUUGACAUGCACAAACUGGAACCUGUCUGAUAAGUAGGAUUUAAACCAGUCCAGUGCUGUCCCUUUAAUGCCAAUAGAAUGUUCUAGUCGCUGUAAUAAAAGUUUGUGGUCGAUUGUAUCGAAUGCUGCACUAAGGUCCAAUAAAGUAAGUAUAGAGACCAGUCCAUUAUCUGACGCUAUGAGAAGGUCAUUAGUAACUUUCACCAGAGCUGUUUCUGUGCUAUGAUGCACUCUGAAGCCUGACUGAAACUCUUCAAACAAGCUAUUCCUUUGUAAAUGUUCACAUAAUUGAUUUGCAACUGUUCUUUCCAGAAUUUUGGAGAGAAAUGGGAGGUUGGAAAUUGGUCUAUAGUUGGCUAAAACAUCUGGAUCGAGAGUGGGCUUUUUAAGUAAAGGUUUGAUUACAGCAACCUUAAAAGCCUGUGGUACAUAACCUGUUACUAGAGAGAGAUUAAUCAGAUCUAACAUUGAGGAAUUAAUUAAAGGUAAAGCCUCCUUGAACAGUCUAGUUGGGAUAGGAUCUAAAAGACAUGUUGAUGGUUUGGAUGUAGAAACUAUUGAAAUGAGUUCAGAGAGAUGUAUGGGGGUGAAAAAUUCUAAAUAUCCAUCUGGUCUUACAGCCAAUUCUAAAGUAUCUGUACUCGAUGAUACAUCUGUGAUAUUUGCAGGAAGGGCCAGAGUAAUUUUUUCUCUAAUCGUAAUAAUUUUAUUUGUAAAGAAGCUCAUGAAGUUGUUACUGCUCAAAGCUAAAGGAAUACAAGGUUCAACAGAGCUCUGACUCUUUGUCAGCCUGGCUACAGUGCUGAAAAGAAACCUGGGGUUGUUCUUGUUUUCCUCUAUUAAAGAUGAAUAAUAUGUUGUCCUGGCAUUACGAAGAGCUUUUUUAUAAAUUACUAGACUAUUUUUCCAAGCUACAUAAACUUCCUCUAAAUUAGUGGAAUACCACUUCCUUUCCAGCUUUCGGGACGCCUGCUUUAAAGUCCGCAGCUGGGAAUUAUACCAAGGAGCAGG